rnacentral:rRNA from 1 species
CUUCGGGUUGUAAAGCACUUUUGUCCGGAAAGAAAUCCUUGGUUCUAAUAUAGCCGGGGGAUGACGGUACCGGAAGAAUAAGCACCGGCUAACUACGUGCCAGCAGCCGCGGUAAUACGUAGGGUGCGAGCGUUAAUCGGAAUUACUGGGCGUAAAGCGUGCGCAGGCGGUUUGCUAAGACCGAUGUGAAAUCCCCGGGCUCAACCUGGGAACUGCAUUGGUGACUGGCAGGCUAGAGUAUGGCAGAGGGGGGUAGAAUUCCACGUGUAGCAGUGAAAUGCGUAGAGAUGUGGAGGAAUACCGAUGGCGAAGGCAGCCCCCUGGGCCAAUACUGACGCUCAUGCACGAAAGCGUGGGGAGCAAACAGGAUUAGAUACCCUGGUAGUCCACGCCCUAAACGAUGUCAACUAGUUGUUGGGGAUUCAUUUCCUUAGUAACGUAGCUAACGCGUGAAGUUGACCGCCUGGGGAGUACGGUCGCAAGAUUAAAACUCAAAGGAAUUGACGGGGACCCGCACAAGCGGUGGAUGAUGUGGAUUAAUUCGAUGCAACGCGAAAAACCUUACCUACCCUUGACAUGGUCGGAAUCCUGCUGAGAGGUGGGAGUGCUCGAAAGAGAACCGGCGCACAGGUGCUGCAUGGCUGUC